rnacentral:misc_RNA from 1 species
UUGAAUAAUACCUGGCAGGUUGUAGCUGGCCCUUUGGGGCAUGUGCACGUCUGUCUUGUUUUCAUUCAUCCACCUGUGAACUGUAAGGCUGUCUUGAAAACGAAAGUGAUUAGAGCGCCUGCCCAUUUUAUACAAACAUUAAAGUAACAAACGUAGUCUUAUUAUAAUCUAAUA